GUCAUACAAGCCAGCAUUUGACCCAAAAAAUUGUGUUGUAAGAUGCCAUUUUCUUUUCUUUGUGGGCCAAAUCUUGCUCUUAGAUAUUUGUCUGAUUGCCAUUGAUUUCAAUGGGUGGAUAUGUGCAAGAGUUAGGGGCAGAAUUUGGCCCUAGAUAAGAUUAUGAAGGAAAAUGGUGUAAAUAUGGAGUAAUUCCACCGAAGUCAAUUGAGUUACUUUGGAGUUACACUGGUGCAAAAAGUUCUCUCUGGCAAUUUAUUCCAAGAGCAGCAUUCCCUAGAGUUUGUGGCAUAAAUGGUUACUCCAAAAGGAAAAAACAAUUCCAGUACAUCAGCUCCGAGGCAAUGAAUAUUACUAAAGACCUUGAAUGGGAGAAGCAUUUGUCAAGUUUGUAUAUAAUAAACAAUAGCAAAAAAAAAAAA